rnacentral:rRNA from 1 species
GAUAAACGCUGGCGGCGUGCCUAAUACAUGCAAGUCGAGCGAACAGACGAGGAGCUUGCUCCUCUGACGUUAGCGGCGGACGGGUGAGUAACACGUGGAUAACCUACCUAUAAGACUGGGAUAACUUCGGGAAACCGGAGCUAAUACCGGAUAAUAUAUUGAACCGCAUGGUUCAAUAGUGAAAGACGGUUUUGCUGUCACUUAUAGAUGGAUCCGCGCCGCAUUAGCUAGUUGGUAAGGUAACGGCUUACCAAGGCAACGAUGCGUAGCCGACCUGAGAGGGUGAUCGGCCACACUGGAACUGAGACACGGUCCAGACUCCUACGGGAGGCAGCAGUAGGGAAUCUUCCGCAAUGGGCGAAAGCCUGACGGAGCAACGCCGCGUGAGUGAUGAAGGUCUUCGGAUCGUAAAACUCUGUUAUUAGGGAAGAACAAAUGUGUAAGUAACUAUGCACGUCUUGACGGUACCUAAUCAGAAAGCCACGGCUAACUACGUGCCAGCAGCCGCGGUAAAAC